GAUGAACGCUGGCGGCGUGCUUAACACAUGCAAGUCGAACGAAGCACUUUAUUUGAUUUCCUUCGGGACUGAUUAUUUUGUGACUGAGUGGCGGACGGGUGAGUAACUCGUGGGUAACCUGCCUUGUACAGGGGGAUAACAGUUGGAAACGGCUGCUAAUACCGCAUAAGCGCCCAGCAUCGCAUGAUGCAGUGUGAAAAACUCCGGUGGUAUAAGAUGGACCCGCGUUGGAUUAGCUAGUUGGUGAGGUAACGGCCCACCAAGGCGACGAUCCAUAGCCGAGCUGAUAGGGUGACCGGCCACAUUGGGACUGAGACACGGCCCAAACUCCUACGGGAGGCAGGAGUGGGGAAUAUUGCAAAAUGGGCGAAAGCCUGAUGCAGCGACGCCGCGUGAGCGAAGAAGUAUUUCGGUAUGUAAAGCUCUAUCAGCAGGGAAGAUAAUGACGUUACCUGACUAAGAAGCACCGGCUAAAUACGUG
rnacentral:rRNA from 1 species